rnacentral:tRNA from 1 species
GCCUGGGUGGCUCAGUAGAUAAGCAACUGACUUCAGCUCAGAUCAUGAUCUCAUAGUUCAUGGGUUCAAGCCCCACCUCAAGCU